rnacentral:piRNA from 3 species
UUCAUGUCAGAGACCGAGAACUCUUGC